GACGAACGCUGGCGGCGUGCCUAAUACAUGCAAGUCGAGCGCAGGAAGCUGACGGAACUCUUCGGAGGGAAGGCAGUGGAAUGAGCGGCGGACGGGUGAGUAACACGUAAGGAACCUGCCUCAAGGAUUGGGAUAACUCCGAGAAAUCGGAGCUAAUACCGGAUAGUUCAACGGACCGCAUGGUCCGCUGAUGAAAGGCGCUUCGGCGUCACCUCGAGAUGGCCUUGCGGUGCAUUAGCUAGUUGGUGGGGUAACGGCCUACCGAGGCGACGAGGCACAGCGACCCUGAGACGGUGAUCGGCCACACUGGGAAUGAGAAACGGCCCAGACUCCUACGGGCGGCAGCAGUAGGGAAUCUUCCACAAUGGACGAAAGUCUGAUGGAGCAACGCCGCGUGAGUGAUGAAGGUUUUCGGAUCGUAAAACUCUGUUGUAAGGGAAGAACACGUACGAGAGGGAAUGCUCGUACCUUGACGGUACCUUACGAGAAAGCCACGGCUAACUACGUGCCAGCAGCCGCCGUAA
rnacentral:rRNA from 1 species